rnacentral:rRNA from 1 species
UACGUAGGGUGCGAGCGUUGUCCGGAAUUAUUGGGCGUAAAGGGCUCGUAGGCGGUCUGUUGCGUCGGUAGUGAAAACUCAGGGCUUAACCCUGAGCCUGCUUCCGAUACGGGCAGACUAGAGGUAUGCAGGGGAGAACGGAAUUCCUGGUGUAGCGGUGAAAUGCGCAGAUAUCAGGAGGAACACCGGUGGCGAAGGCGGUUCUCUGGGCAUUACCUGACGCUGAGGAGCGAAAGCGUGGGUAGCAAACAGG